rnacentral:rRNA from 1 species
AGAGUUUGAUCAUGGCUCAGGAUGAACGCUGGCGGUAUGCCUAAUACAUGCAAGUCGAACGCAUUCUCGUUUUAGAUUGACGGUGCUUGCACCAGAUUGAAAAGACAUUUGAAUGAGUGGCGGACGGGUGAGUAACACGUGGGUAACCUGCCCAAAAGUGGGGGAUAACAUUUGGAAACAAAUGCUAAUACCGCAUAAAAGUUAGAACCGCAUGGUUCUAAUUUGAAAGAUGGUUUCGGCUAUCACUUUUGGAUGGACCCGCGGCGUAUUAGUUAGUUGGUGAGGUAAUGGCUCACCAAGACAAUGAUACGUAGCCGAACUGAGAGGUUGAUCGGCCACAAUGGGACUGAGACACGGCCCAUACUCCUACGGGAGGCAGCAGUAGGGAAUCUUCCACAAUGGGCGCAAGCCUGAUGGAGCAAUACCGCGUGAGUGAAGAAGGGUUUCGGCUCGUAAAACUCUGUUGUUGGAGAAGAACGUAUGUGAUAGUAACUGAUCAUGUAGUGACGGUAUCCAACCAGAAAGCCACGGCUAACUACGUGCCAGCAGCCGCGGUAAUACGUAGGUGGCAAGCGUUAUCCGGAUUUAUUGGGCGUAAAGCGAGCGCAGGCGGUUUUUUAAGUCUGAUGUGAAAGCCCUUGGCUCAACCAAGGAAGUGCAUCGGAAACUGGAGAACUUGAGUGCAGAAGAGGACAGUGGAACUCCAUGUGUAGCGGUGAAAUGCGUAGAUAUAUGGAAGAACACCAGUGGCGAAGGCGGCUGUCUGGUCUGUAACUGACGCUGAGGCUCGAAAGCAUGGGUAGCGAACAGGAUUAGAUACCCUGGUAGUCCAUGCCGUAAACGAUGAAUGCUAGGUGUUGGAGGGUUUCCGCCCUUCAGUGCCGCAGCUAACGCAUUAAGCAUUCCGCCUGGGGAGUACGACCGCAAGGUUGAAACUCAAA